GGAGGUAGUGACAAUAAAUCACAAUGCGGAACAAUGUUUUGCAAUUGGAUUGAGAACAACGUACAAACCUUAUCGAUAAACAAUUGGAGGGCAAGUCUGGUGCCAGCAGCCGCGGUAAUUCCAGCUCCAAUAGCGUAUAUUAACGUUGUUGCAGUUAAAAAGCUCGUAGUUGAAAUGAAGGGUAGUUGUGUAAUGAAUACAUUCGUGUAUUUUGUUAUUCAAGUACCCUCCUUCUAAAUUCGAUAUAUGAGUAUUAAUUUACUUGUAUAUGGUUUUAGACAUUUACUGUGAGAAAAUUAGAGUGUUCAAAGCAGGCAUUUGCUUGAAUAUAUUAGCAUGGAAUAAUCAUGUAUGAUUUUCAUGAUGUAUUUGAUUGGUUUGGUUSAUGAGAAUAAGAUUAAAAGGGACAGUUGGGGGUAUUCAUAUUCAAUAGUCAGAGGUGAAAUUCUCGGAUUUAUGGAAGAUGAACAAGUGCGAAAGCAUUUACCAAGGAUGUUUUC
rnacentral:rRNA from 1 species